rnacentral:rRNA from 1 species
AGAGUUUGAUCCUGGCUCAGGACGAACGCUGGCGGCGUGCCUAAUACAUGCAGGUCGAGCGGACCGACGGGAGCUUGCUCCUUUAGGUCACCGGCGGACGGGUGAGUAACACAUGGGUAACCUGCCUGUAAGAUUGGGAUAAUUCCGGGAAACCGGGGCUAAUACCGGAUGCUUGAUUGAACCUCUAUCGGUUCAUUCGUAAAAGGUGGCUUUUUGCUACUACUUACGGAUGGACCCGCGGUUCAUUAUCUAGUUGGUAAGGUAACGGCUCACCCUGCAACCAUGCAUAUCCGAACUAAGAGGGUGAUCGGCCUCUCUGGGACUGAGAUACGCGCCCAGACUCCUACGGGAGGUCUCGUUAGGGAAUCUUCACGAAUGGACCAAAUUCUAACGGACCUGCUCCUCGUGAGUGAUGAAGGUUUUCAGAUCAUAAAAUUC